rnacentral:rRNA from 1 species
AACCUGCCCAGGGCUCUGGGAUAACUGCUGGAAACGGCAUCUAAUACCGGAUACGCCGUAUUGGGAAAGAAAUUCGGCCUUGGAUGGGCCCGCGUUGGAUUAGCUAUAUGGUGGGGUAACGGCCUACCAUGGCGACGAUCCAUAGCUGGUUUGAGAGGAUGAUCAGCCACACUGGGACUGAGACACGGCCCAAACUCCUACGGGAGGCAGCAGUGGGGAAUCUUAGACAAUGGGGGCAACCCUGAUCUAGCCAUGCCGCGUGAGUGAUGAAGGCCUUAGGGUUGUAAAGCUCUUUCAGCAGGGAAGAUAAUGACUGUACCUGCAAAAUAAGCUCCGGCUAACUCCGUGCCAGCAGCCGCGGUAAUACGGAGGGGGCUAGCGUUGUUCGGAAUUACUGGGCGUAAAGCGCGCGUAGGCGGAUCGGUCAGUUGGGGGUGAAAGCCCGGGGCUCAACCUCGGAACUGCCCUCAAAACUACCGAUCUAGAGUUCGGGAGAGGUAAGCGGAAUUCCCAGUGUAGAGGUGAAAUUCGUAGAUAUUGGGAAGAACACCAGUGGCGAAGGCGGCUUACUGGACCGAUACUGACGCUGAGGUGCGAAAGCGUGGAGAGCAAACAGGAUUAGAUACCCUGGUAGUCCACGCCGUAAACGAUGGGUGCUAGAUGUCGGGGCUCUUAGAGUUUCGGUGUCGCAGUUAACGCAUUAAGCACCCCGCCU